GCAAACGGGAUUAGAUACCCCGGUAAUCCAAGCCGUAAACGAUGAGUGCUAGGUGUGGGGGGUAUCAAUACAUGCCGUGGAGAAGCUAACACAUUAAACUCUCCGCCUGGGGAGUACGGUCGCAAGGGUGAAACUCAAAGGAAUUGAGGGGGGACCGCACAAGCGGUAGAGCAUGUGGUACAUUUAGACACAACGAGAAGAAUCUUAAAGGGGCUAGAAAUGCAGGAGACAUCCGGCGAAAGUCGGCUCCCGCAAGAGCGUAGGUACAGGUGCUGCAUGGUUGUCGUCAGCUCGUGUCGUGAGAUGUUGGGUUAAGUCCCGCAACGAGCGCAACCCUCGUCCUCUGUUGCCAUCAGGUCACGCUGGGCACUCUGAGGAGACUGCCGGUGAUAAACCGGAGGAAGGUGGGGAUGACGUCAAGUCAGCAUGGCCUUUAUGUCCAGGGCCACACACGUGCUACAAUGGCGGAUACAAAGCGUCGCAAACCCGCGAGGGUGAGCUAAUCGCAGAAAGUCCGUCUCAGUUCGGAUUGUAGGCUGCAACUCGCCUGCAUGAAGUCGGAAUCGCUAGUAAUCGCGGAUCAGCAUGCCGCGGUGAAUACGUUCCCGGGCCUUGUACACACCGCCCGUCACACCACGAAAG
rnacentral:rRNA from 1 species